AUCGAACGCUGGCGGCAGGCCUAACACAUGCAAGUCGAGCGGCGGCGCGGACGGGUGUGAAAUGUCUAGGAAUCUGCCUGGUCGUUGGGGAUACCGUUCGGAAACGGGCGCUAUUACCGCAUAGUAUCAGAUGAGCCUAGGUCGGCUUGGCUAGUUGGUGGGGUAAAGGCCUACCAGGGCGAGGAUCCGUAACUGGUCCGAGAGGAUGGUCCGUCACACGGGAACGGGAACGCGGACAAGACGCCUACGGGAGGCAGCAGUGGGGAAUAUUGGACAAUGGGGGAGAGCCUGAUCCAACCAGGCCGCGUGUGAGAAGAAGGUCUUCGGAUUGUAAAGCACUUUAAGUUGGUGGGCGUUACCAGCAGAAGAAGCACCGGCUAACUUCGUGCCAGCAGCCGCGGUAAUAC
rnacentral:rRNA from 1 species